UUCUCUUGUAUUUGGAAAUCUAAGGUCCCUCCUAAGAUUAAGAUUUUCCUCUGGCAAGCCUUCCGAGGUCGCCUUCCUUCUGCUGAUCAGAUCAAAAAACGCAAUGGGCCGGGCUCGGAAUUCUGUAACUUGUGUGGGGCUUUGGAAAACUCUAAUCACAUCUUUUUCAACUGUGUUCUUGCCAAAUUAGUUUGGUCUUGCGUAAGAUCAUGGCUUCGGGUCUCCUGGGAUCCCUCCUCUUUCGCAGACACUAGAACCCUAGCCAAAUCUCUAGUAGGGGUCACCAAGAGGGUAUUCUGGGUUGGCUUGGGAGCCUUAUGUUGGGCUCUUUGGACCAUUAGAAACAAAUUUACUAUUAAACUUACCUUCCCAUCUAAGCCUGCUGACGUUCUUUUCAAAUCAUGUAUAUUCUUGCAGCAGUGGAGAUUAUUGACUAAGGAGCCAGAUCGGGACGCCCUGGACCUGCUCAUCGCCAAAAUUCGGGCUUCAACCUCUCAGAUCUCCGAGACGAAUCAUGGCGUAUAA
rnacentral:rRNA from 1 species